rnacentral:Y_RNA from 1 species
GAGGCGGGGGGGCGAGCCCCGAGGGGCUCUUAUUGUUAAGUUGAUUUAACAUUGUCUCCCCCCACAACCGCGCUUGACUAGCUUGACGUU